UUACAAGGAAACAGUCCGGACUGGAAGGUCCACAGGCGUAGCUGUCAGCUCCAGGUUACUACAGUCCACUGAAUCUCCGUUGCAGAUCGGACAGGAAAUGCCUGCCUGAUUGGAAAGAUUAACGAAAGCUUCUGCCAGCUGUUGAAGAAACGUGUGAAGAUGCAAGAAGAACAUCUGUUGCACAUCUGUCCAUCCUGGGAGAGGGAUCCCUCCUCUGUUUCUCUUCCUGAGGUUUCUUCCUUUU